AGCUGGUUUCUCAGGAAAAGAAUAUUAGUCCAAUAAAGUAAUAAAAAUAUAACAAAAUAACCCCUAUACUUUAGAGCAAUUCAAAUAAGGUACAGCCUAUUUGAUACGGGAUACAACCCCAAAUAAAGGGUUAACUUCAAAUUCUUAACUUAAGUUGGCCUAAAAGCAGCCACCUUUUAAAAAGCGUCAAAGCUUAAUAAAAUAUAAUCUAAUUUGUCACUUUUUAGUUACCCCUUCUCCAUUACUGAGAAAUUCUAUAAAAUUAUAGAAAUUUUUAUGCUAAAACUAGUAACAAGAGGUUACCCCUCUCCAAGAUGUAAGCACAAACCAGAAAGAAUCGAUCACUGGUAUCUAACAAACUUUUACUAAAGUAAUAACCCCCCCCCUAGAAAACAUUACUAUUAUUUUUAUUGUUAACCUAACACAAGAGCAUCUCAAGAAAGAUUAAAAGAAAAAGAAGGAACUCGACAAACACUAGCCCCGCCUGUUUACCAAAAACAUCACCUCUUGACUACUAUAAGAGGCCAAGCCUGCCCAGUGACCUAAAUGUUCAACGGCCGCGGUAUCCUAACCGUGCAAAGGUAGCGUAAUCACUUGUCUCCUAAAUAGAGACUAGUAUGAAAGGCUUCACGAGGGUUAAACUGUCUCCUUUCUCCAAUCAGUGAACCUAAUCCCCC
rnacentral:rRNA from 2 species